rnacentral:rRNA from 1 species
UGUCACAGCCAUGUCACCCAGCAGCCCAAGACUAGUUACCUAUUAAAGCUAAGCAGGGAGAGCCUGGUCAGUACAUGAAUGUAAGACCACUAGGUUCAGCUCUGAAAACUAGGUUGCUGUUGGAA